GAUGAACGCUAGCGGCAGGCCUAACACAUGCAAGUCGAGGGGUAGAACACUUCGGUGUUUGAGACCGGCGCACGGGUGCGUAACGCGUAUGCAAUCUGCCUUACACUGAGGGAUAGCCCAGAGAAAUUUGGAUUAAUACCUUAUAGUAUAUUGAUGUGGCAUCACAUUAUUAUUAAAGAUUUAUUGGUGUAAGAUGAGCAUGCGUCCCAUUAGCUAGUUGGUAUGGUAACGGCAUACCAAGGCAAUGAUGGGUAGGGGUCCUGAGAGGGAGAUCCCCCACACUGGUACUGAGACACGGACCAGACUCCUACGGGAGGCAGCAGUGAGGAAUAUUGGUCAAUGGUCGCAAGACUGAACCAGCCAUGCCGCGUGCAGGAUGAAGCAUCUAUGGUGUGUAAACUGCUUUUGUACGGGAAGAAACACCUCUUCGUGAAGAGGCUUGACGGUACCGUAAGAAUAAGGAUCGGCUAACUCCGUGCCAGCAGCCGCGGUAAGAC
rnacentral:rRNA from 1 species